rnacentral:rRNA from 1 species
GUCGAGCGCCCAGCAAGGGGAGCGGCAGACGGGUGAGUAACGCGUGGGAACGUACCCUUCGCUACGGAAUAACUCAGGGAAACUUGAGCUAAUACCGUAUACGUCCGAUAGGAGAAAGAUUUUAUCGGCGAAGGAUCGGCCCGCGUUGGAUUAGCUAGUUGGUGGGGUAAAGGCCUACCAAGGCGACGAUCCAUAGCUGGUCUGAGAGGAUGAUCAGCCACACUGGGACUGAGACACGGCCCAGACUCCUACGGGAGGCAGCAGUGGGGAAUAUUGGACAAUGGGCGCAAGCCUGAUCCAGCCAUGCCGCGUGAGUGAUGAAGGCCCUAGGGUUGUAAAGCUCUUUCACCGGUGAAGAUAAUGACGGUAACCGGAGAAGAAGCCCCGGCUAACUUCGUGCCAGCAGCCGCGGUAAUACGAAGGGGGCUAGCGUUGUUCGGAUUUACUGGGCGUAAAGCGCACGUAGGCGGACUUUUAAGUCAGGGGUGAAAUCCCGGGGCUCAACCCCGGAACUGCCUUUGAUACUGGAAGUCUUGAGUUCGAGAGAGGUGAGUGGAAUUCCGAGUGUAGAGGUGAAAUUCGUAGAUAUUCGGAGGAACACCAGUGGCGAAGGCGGCUCACUGGCUCG